GACAGAGGUCCCGAGCGUUAGGCGGAAUCACUGGGCUUAAAGCGUGUGUAGGCGGAUCGUUAAGUGCCUUGUGAAAUCCCACGGCUCAACCGUGGAACUGCUUGGUAUACUGCUUAUCUUGGGCCAUCUAGGGGCGAGCGGAACAAACGGUGGAGCGGUGAAAUGCGUAGAUAUCGUUUGGAACGCCAAUGGUGAAAACAGCUCGCUGGGGAUGUGCCGACGCUGAGAUACGAAAGCCAGGGGAGCGAACGGG
rnacentral:rRNA from 1 species